rnacentral:rRNA from 1 species
GACGAACGCUGGCGGCGUGCCUAAUACAUGCAAGUCGAGCGAAUGGAAGGGAGCUUGCUCCCUGAAGUUAGCGGCGGACGGGUGAGUAACACGUGGGCAACCUGCCUGUAAGACUGGGAUAACUUCGGGAAACCGGAGCUAAUACCGGAUACGUACUUUUCUCACAUGAGGAAAGAUGGAAAGAUGGUUUCGGCUAUCACUUACAGAUGGGCCCGCGGCGCAUUAGCUAGUUGGUGGGGUAAUGGCCCACCAAGGCGACGAUGCGUAGCCGACCUGAGAGGGUAAUCGGCAACACUGGGACUGAGCCACGGCCCAGACUCCUACGGGAGGCAGCAGUAGGGAAUCUUCCGCAAUGGACGAAAGUCUGACGGAGCAACGCCGCGUGAGCGAAGAAGGACUUCGGGUCGUAAAGCUCUGUUGUCAGGGAAGAACAAGUGCCAGAGUAACUGCUGGCACCUUGACGGUACCUGACCAGAAAGCCACGGCUAACUACGUGCCAGCCGCCGCCGUAA